GAUGAACGCUGGCGGCGUGCCUAAUACAUGCAAGUCGAGCGAACGGACGAGAAGCUUGCUUUUCUGAUGUUAGCGGCGGACGGGUGAGUAACACGUGGAUAACCUACCUAUAAGACUGGGAUAACUUCGGGAAACCGGAGCUAAUACCGGAUAAUAUUUUGAACCGCAUGGUUCAAAAGUGAAGGACGGUCUUGCUGUCACUUAUAGAUGGAUCCGCGCUGCAUUAGCUAGUUGGUAAGGUAACGGCUUACCAAGGCAACGAUGCAUAGCCGACCUGAGAGGGUGAUCGGCCACACUGGAACUGAGACACGGUCCAGACUCCUACGGGAGGCAGCAGUAGGGAAUCUUCCGCAAUGGGCGAAAGCCUGACGGAGCAACGCCGCGUGAGUGAUGAAGGUCUUCGGAUCGUAAAACUCUGUUAUUAGGGAAGAACAUAUGUGUAAGUAACUGUGCACAUCUUGACGGUACCUAAGCAGAAAGCCACGGCUAACUACGU
rnacentral:rRNA from 1 species